AUAAGCCCGGGGUAGGCGCACGCGACCUAUGAUCCCGGGAUGUCCGAAUGAGAAUCUUGUGUUUACACACUCCGUUGCAAUGGCAGCGGAGAUCGAACCGUCGGAAUUGAAGCAUCUUAGUACGACGAGGAAAAGAAAUCAAUUGAGAUUUCCCAAGUAGUGGCGAACGAAACGGAAACAGCCCAAACUGAAUCUGUUAUGGUAACAUAACAGAGAUGUGGUGUUUUGGUUAUGAUAUUACGAUCCUAGAAUACAGCUGAAGUGUUCUGGAACGUACCGGCGAAGUGGGUGAUACCCCCGUAAGCGAAGUAGUAUAGGAUCUUAUCAUGACCCGAGUAGCUGUCCUUGGCAGUGGGCAGUGAAUAUAGGUGAAAGUAGUAUCUGAGGCUAAAUAUUUCUCAAGACCGAUAGUGAACUAGUACCGUGAGGGAAAGCUGAAAAGUACCCCGGAAGGGGGCUGAAAAGCGCAUGAAAC
rnacentral:rRNA from 1 species